AACUUUGAAUUCGUCGUUUAUUUUCUCUCUCCUCUCUAUUCUUCUACUCUCGAGUCUUUUCACAGUCCCCUUAAAAUUGCAUUUGAAGAGAGAGAAACACUCAAAAAACUCAUCUCCUGCAACUGUAAAAUUCAUCUACGUUAAAGAUGUCUUUGCAUCUUGGUAAUUUGUCACCUCGCGCUCGCAAGGAUGAGUUGGAACGUGUUUUUACAAGGUUUGGCCGGUGCACCGUGCAACUGAAAGAAGGGUUUGGGUUUGCAGUAUAUGACUUCCGCGGGGAUGCUGAGAAGGCCUUCAGGACUCUUAAGGGAAGGAAGAUUUGUGGUGAGUCAGUAUAUCUAUCAUGGUCAAAGAAACAGCCUAAACCAUUGCAACGAUUCGCAAGACCUACCAGGUCCCAUGACAUGCGAUAUGAAAGACAUUUUGAUCGGGAUGAUAAUUUUGUUGGUCGUAACUUUUCAAGGAGUCGGAGAGAUUACACAAUGAGUGACAAACAAUUGGAAGAAGGUCGAAAAAGGCACAAGUCUUCUGAUAUACAUAACGAUAGGGGGAACAUCAGUCUUAAUGAUAUGGGAGUUGUGCAUAAUGAGCAACAGGAACUAGCUUUGGAAGAAGGUGGCUGUGUUGAAGUUGAACCCAACCAGAUGGAUGAUGGAAGGUGGGAAGAAGAAGAACAUAUUAAUAACCUUCAAAGUGAGGCUAAUUUUGAUGCACAGGUGGAAAUUGACCGGUACGAGCCCGAUUGUGGUGAUAAAAUAGGUGAAGAAUAUGGAAACCGUGGUUUGGAACAUCAAGCUGGUUCUCAGUCUGUGAGAACAUCACCGGACAAGAACAGGAGGAUACAUCCUGGUAACAAGAGAGGCCAUCAAACUUGUUUUAGAUGUGGAGCUGCUGGUCACAAGAUGCGUGAUUGUCCAUCGAAAGAGGCUUUGCAGGAGAUUAGCACAUACCACUCAGAUCAUAGGCGUGACACAAAAGACAACAGUGAGGUUGGAAGGAUAGAAUCUAGAUCACGAGGACAGCUGCUGUCAAAUAAUGGGAAGUUGAGAUCAGGAAGGCGACCUGACACUGAUGAGAAGCCAUCUCAUUCAGGAAAGGAUGGAGCUAACAGAAGAAGCUCUCGCAUGGAAAAUGAAUCUAGGAGGGACAAGAGAAAGGAUUUCGAUAGAAAACGACAAAGGGAAAGGGAUGAUAAGAUUGUAGAGACUCGUGAUAAUAAAAUGUCAAGGGUUUUAGCUUUGUCCCAUCUUCAUGCUGAGUGUACAUCACCUGAGUUGCGUACAUCUUCGAGAUCAUUAAAGCCUUUGGUGGGUACAAGCUCUCAUUCUAGAUCACCUAUACCACAUUCCCUUUCUGCUAGUAGGUCCAAUACAAGAUCACGCAGAUUCAGGUCCAAAAGUUUUAAGACUAAGAGUAGGUCAAGGUCAAGAUCAAGAUCAAGCGCACCAUCCUCUUCCUUGUCUAUCUCUCUCGAGCGGUCUUUACCCUCUUCUCCAAACAAGACAGAAGUAAAUUUGAAUGGAUUUUCUGAACGUGCCCCUAUCCCUCCAUCCAAGGAAAUGCUGACUGCUGUCAGUCAGCAUUUUGAACAUGAAGUUAGGGAAGAGAACCUAUCUGUUGUAAAAGGAGCAGAGCAAAGUUUGAGUGGAUACACUGAUAAUGCAACAAGUUCUCGAGUGGUGGAGGUUCCAAUACAGAGAAUGCAAUCAGAACAUGACUCAGUCGAGGAGACUCCGGCUUAUGUAAAGCAUACAGAGGUAAGCUUGAAUGGAUUUGUGGAAGAUGAUCAGCUUCCACAACCUCAGGAGGCAGCGCUUGAGAGAAUGCAAUCAGAACGUGACUCAGUGGAGGAGACUCCGGCUUAUACAAAGCAUACAGAGGUAAGCUUGAAUGGAUUUGUGGAAGAUAAUCAGAUUCCACAACCUCAGGAAGCAGGGCUUGAGAGAAUGCAAUCAGAACGUGACUCAGUGGAGGAGACUCCGGCUUAUAUAAAGCAUACAGAGGUAAGCUUGAAUGGAUUUGUGGAAGAUAAUCAGAUUUCACAACCUCAGGUGGCAGGGCUUGAGGAGAGGCAGUGGUUGGACCACAAUAUAGAACCUCAACAAACAGAUGUACCUUUGCAAAGUGAAGAUGGUACUUCGUCUGGCAAGAUAAUGAGCGACAUGAAGCUAGAGCAAUCACAUAUUGAUGGUAAUGGUGACUCCAGUGCCCCACAUCUAUCUUGUGAAGUUGAGGUUAUGUGCUCUUCGCUUGAAAAGGAUGAAAAGGAGUUUGAUGCUGUAGUUGAGAAGCAAAGAGAAACCGAGGAACGUGAAAAUGCUGCUCUAGAAAUGAUGAAACCUUUGGAAGUAGACAGUGAUUUAGAUCAGAAAGCUCCAUCAAAAUUGCAUGUUGGCAGUCAUCUAAGCAUUUGUACAGAGGAAUUAUGCAGGGUUCUGAAACACUAUGGCUUGAAACAUCCCAACGAGAAUGAACAUCACCAAGACGUCGAAGAUUACUUUGGUUCUUCCCGGCUAUGGCCUUGGGAGAUGAUCUACUACAGGAGACUGAAGAAGGGUUCUAUCUCAGUGGAGAAUUAUGCUAGGCGAGUAGCACAAAAUAAAGCUUUUGGCAUUACUGACAAGUUUAUCAGAAGUAGUAGUGGAUGGGGUGAAUAUAUUGAAGAUCUUUGUUAAGAAUGUAUUAUACUAUUUUGAUGUUUCUUAUGCUUCACUGGAAUAUUAGUGAAGGUGAUCCUUUUCACUUAAGCUAUAUCUGUCUUUGGAACUACUGAAUUCGCCUUCUGGGAGUCUUUCUUGAGAGUGGUUGCUGAAUGUGAAGCGAAAAUUUGGUGGAAUUAACUCAAUUAAGCUUGGUACUUUGUGACUUACUAUAAACGAAAUUAUAGUGAAUAUGUUCGGCUGGCACCAACACCAACAUUUUAUCAUGGAAGAAGGAACUUAUGGACCUGGAAUCACUACCUUGCAUCUAAAUCAUUAAUUUAAAUGGCAUUGCUCAUCAGCUGUAAGGAUAUGCUGGAAACCGUGGUAUGGAAUAUUAUCUUGGGGUCUCUGCUGCUUACGUGACUUAUGCUAGUGUCAUGAAGGCUUUUUGAUGUGAUUACUGCUUUUAUCCAAUAUAAGAACAAGUGGAGUUUGGUGCCAAGGUUACCACUUCUUUCAUACUCCUAAUCUUCUAUAUAGUCAGAUAUUUGCAACAACUUACCAUGAAAGAGAAGAUGCCAGAGUAGUAACAGCCCGUUUGGUUGGCAAUAAAUAAUUAGUGGUAUUGGUAGACAAUUUUGGUGUACUUUUGAAGUAAAUAUAUCAUGACAAUGUUUAUAAUAUUGAAA